rnacentral:rRNA from 1 species
AUUGAACGCUGGCGGCAUGCCUUACACAUGCAAGUCGAACGGCGGCACGGGAGUAAUCCUGGUGGCGAGUGGCGAACGGGUGAGUAAUAUAUCGGAACGUGCCCAGUCGUGGGGGAUAACGCAGCGAAAGCUGUGCUAAUACCGCAUACGAUCUAAGGAUGAAAGCGGGGGAUCGCAAGACCUCGCGCGAUUGGAGCGGCCGAUAUCAGAUUAGCUAGUUGGUGGGGUAAAGGCCCACCAAGGCGACGAUCUGUAGCUGGUCUGAGAGGACGACCAGCCACACUGGAACUGAGACACGGUCCAGACUCCUACGGGAGGCAGCAGUGGGGAAUUUUGGACAAUGGGCGCAAGCCUGAUCCAGCAAUGCCGCGUGCAGGAUGAAGGCCUUCGGGUUGUAAACUGCUUUUGUACGGAACGAAACGGCCCUUUCUAAUACAGGGGGCUAAUGACGGUACCGUAAGAAUAAGCACCGGCUAACUACGUGCCAGCCGCCGCCGUAA